CCCUUAGAUGUUCUGGGCCGCACGCGCGCUACACUGAUGCAUUCAACGAGUUUCUUCCUGGUCCGAGAGGAAUGGGUAACCUUUUGAAAGUGCAUCGUGAUAGGGAUAGAUUAUUGCAAUUAUUAGUCUUGAACGAGGAAUUCCUAGUAAGCACAAGUCAUCAGCUUGUGUUGAUUACGUCCCUGCCCUUUGUACACACCGCCCGUCGCUCCUACCGAUUGAAUGUUCCGGUGAGCUCUUCGGACUGCGCGGUCUGCAGUUUCUGCGUUCCGUGCGGAAAGUUGCGCAAACCUUAACAUUUAGAGGAAGGAGAAGUCGUAACA
rnacentral:rRNA from 1 species